GAAAAUUCUACAAUACCAUAAGUUUUGAGAAAUUUGAAAAAUGUGCUUCGUUCUCAGCUUCGUCGGGGAGUGUUUUGCCAUGGUUGGUUUUGCGUCUACCUUUCGCUUGCUCAGUUGUCUCCGUCGUCUCACGUUCAUCAUUUGAUUUACUCUGACCCGAACCACUUGAACCGGGUUUCGAACUCAUCCAUGAAGGAAGAUUACGUUUCCUCCCAUUCUUGUCACCGUCGUUUGACCCAGACAUGUUCAAACGGCGCUGCUUAUCGAUCGGAAUUCGUCAAUUUACAGAUUGCGAGACAUGCAAAUUGCUUCAAUUUACAGUAAUAUUGAUGAAGAAGCUAACAAUUUUUUAGGGUUAUUUCCAUAAAGAGUAAUCACAUUCA
rnacentral:misc_RNA from 1 species